rnacentral:rRNA from 1 species
UACGGAGGGUGCGAGCGUUGUCCGGAAUCACUGGGCGUAAAGGGUGCGUAGGCGGCGCGGAUAGUCGGCGGUGAAAGCCCGGAGCUCAACUCCGGGUCGGCCGUCGAUACUUCCGGGCUUGAGCACUGUAGAGGCAGAUGGAAUUCCGGGUGUAGCGGUGGAAUGCGUAGAGAUCCGGAAGAACACCGGUGGCGAAGGCGGUCUGCUGGGCAGUAGCUGACACUGAGGCGCGACAGCGUGGGGAGCAAACAGG